AUUGAACGCUGGCGGCAGGCCUAACCCAUGCAAGUCGAGCGGAGCGGCGGACGGGUGAGUAAUGCCUAUUCAUCUGCCUGGUAGUGGGGGAUAACGUACGGAAGCGGGCGCUAAUACCGCAUACUCUCAGCUGAGCCACGGUCGGCAUAGCUAGUUGGUGGGGCAAAGGCUUACCAAGGCGACGAUCCGUAACUGGUCUGAGAGGAUGAUCAGUACAACUGGAAAGGAGACACGGUCCAGAUGCCUACGGGAGGCAGCAGUGGGGAAUAGUGGAUAAUGGGCGAAAGCCUGAGCCAGCAGUGCCGCGUGUGUGAAGAAGGUAUUCGGAUUGUAAAGCACUUUAAGUUGGGAGGCGUUACCAACAGAAGAAGCACCGGCUAACUUCGUGCCAGCAGCCGCGGUAAUUC
rnacentral:rRNA from 1 species